rnacentral:rRNA from 1 species
UAGGGAAUUUUCGUCAAUGGGCGCAAGCCUGAACGAGCAAUGGCCGCGUGAGUGAGGAAGGUCUUCGGAUAGUAAAGCUCUGUUGCAGGUCAAGAAAAGAAGGGAAGAGGAAAUGCUUUUCUUUUGAUAGUAACCUGCCAGAAAGUCACGGCUAACUACGUGCC